GACGAACGCUGGCGGCGUGCUUAACACAUGCAAGUCGAGCGGUAAGGCCUCUUCGGGGGUACACGAGCGGCGGACGGGCGGGUAACACGCAGGUGACCUGCCCUCAGCUCUGGGAUAAGCCUGGGAAACUGGGUCUAAUACCGGAUAUGACCUUUCCUCGCAUGGGGGUUGGUGGAUAGAUUGUUCGGCUGGGGAUGGGCGCGCGGGCUAUCUGCUGGUUGGUGGGGUGGUGGCCUACCAAGGCGCCGGUGGGUGGCCGGCCGGAGUGGGCGGCCGGCCACGCGGGGACUUAGCCACGGCCCUGCUUCCUGCGGGAGACGGCAGUGGGGGAUAUUGCUCGGUGGGCGGCAGCCGGACGCAGCGACGCCGCGUGGUGGAUGCCGUCCUUCGGGUUGUAAAUCUCUUUCGUCCCCGACGGAUUUUGACGGUAGUGGGAGAAGAAGCACCGGCCAACUACGUG
rnacentral:rRNA from 1 species